rnacentral:rRNA from 1 species
GAUUGAAUGCUGGCGGGGAUGUUUACACAUGCAAGUCGAACGGCAGCACGGACUUCGGUCUGGUGGCGAGGGCGAACGGGUGAGUAAUGAACGAAAUAGUAGCGGUAGUAGAUGCAACCGGUUUAAAAUGUAGCUUUCACACGCACACACCUUCGGCGUUGAGACUCUUGGGUUCUCGCAGAAUACAGAGAGUGAGUGACAAUCUGAUGUUGCUUAGGCUGAAAAUAGGAUGAACACCGACAGGCGACGAGAUCCGCAGCUGGCUUGGAGAGGACGACCAGCCACACUGGGACCGAGACACGGCCCAGACUCACGGGAGCAAGCAGGGAAUGGACAGACGGAAACCUCGAUCCGAGGCGUGAUCCUGCGUGGCGAUACGAGAGCGUCUUCCGACGCGUGCGCGACGCUGGACAGGAGGAAAGAAUGGCACGAUAACACCCCCGUGCAACUGACGGUACUGCAGAAUAAGCACUGGCUACAUGCCAGCAGCUGCGGUAAUACGUAGGGUGCAAGCGUUAAUCGGAAUUACUGGGCGUAAAGCGUGCGCAGGCGGUUCGGGAAAGAAAGAUGUGGAAAUCCCAGAGCUUAACUUUGGAACUGCAUUUUCAACUACCGAGCUAGAGUGUGUCAGAGAGGUGGAAUUCCGCGUGUAGCAGUGAAAUGCGUAGAUAUGUGAGGAACACCGAUGGCGAAGGCAGCCUCCUGGGAUAACACUGACGCCUGCACGAAAGCGUGGGGAGCAAACAGAUUAGAUACUCCUGCAGUCCACGCCCAAACGAUGUCAACUAGCCGUUGGGGGCUUCGGGCCUUUAGCGCAGCUAACGCGUGAAGUUGACCGCCUGGGAGUACGGUCGCAAGAUUAAAACUCAAAGGAAUUGACGGGACCUGCACAAGCGGUGGAUGAUGUGGAUUAAUUGAUGCAACGCGAAAACCUUACUCUACCUUGACAUGUCUGGAAUCCCGAAGAGAUUUGGGAGUGCUCGCAAGAGAACCGGAACACAGGUGUUGGCAUGGUCAUCAGCUCUCCGUGUCGUGAGAUGUUGGGUUAAGUCCCGCAACGAGCGCAACCCUUGUCAUUAGUUGCUACGAAAGGGCACUCCACGAGACCGCCGGUGACAAACCGGAGGAAGGUGGGGAUGACGUCAAGUCCCCGCGGCCCUUGCGGCAGGGCUUCACACGUCAUAAUGGUCGGGACAGAGGGUCGCUCAACCAGCGAGGGGGAGCUAAUCCCAGAAACCCGAUCGUAGUCCGGAUCAGAAGUCUGCAACUCGACCGCGUGAAGUCGGAAUCGCUAGUAAUCGCGAUCAGUGAUGUCGCGGUAAUACGUUCUGGUCUUGUACACACCGCCUGUCACACCAUGGGAGUAGGUUUACCAGAAGUAGCGGCCUAACCGUGUGAGGGCGAUUACCACGGUGGUGAUUCAUGACUGGGGUGAAGUUGCACAAGGCAGUU